rnacentral:tRNA from 1 species
GUCUCCUUGGCUUAGUUGGUCUUAAAGCGCCGGUCUCAUAUAUUUUCUAUAUGAUCAUGUCUCAGACAUGUGUAAUCCGGAGGUCGUGAGUUCGACUCUCACAGGGGACA